AACGAACGCUGGCGGCAGGCCUAACACAUGCAAGUCGAGCGAGGACUUCGGUUCUAGCGGCGGACGGGUGAGUAACGCGUGGGAAUGUGCCCUUCUCUACGGAAUAGCCCUUGUAAACUGGGAGUAAUACCGUAUACGCCCUAUUGGGGAAAGAUUUAUCGGAGAAGGAUCAGCCCGCGUUGGAUUAGGUAGUUGGUGGGGUAAUGGCCUACCAAGCCGACGAUCCAUAGCUGGUUUGAGAGGAUGAUCAGCCACACUGGGACUGAGACACGGCCCAGACUCCUACGGGAGGCAGCAGUGGGGAAUCUUAGACAAUGGGGGCAACCCUGAUCUAGCCAUGCCGCGUGAGUGAUGAAGGCCUUAGGGUUGUAAAGCUCUUUCAGCUGGGAAGAUAAUGACGGUACCAGCAGAAGAAGCCCCGGCUAACUCCGUG
rnacentral:rRNA from 1 species